rnacentral:misc_RNA from 1 species
GAUGAAGAACGUAGCGAAAUGCGAUAAGUAAUGUGAAUUGCAGAAUUCAGUGAAUCAUCGAAUCUUUGAACGCACCUUGCACUCCUUGGUAUUCCGAGGAGUACGCCUGUUCGAGUGUUAUGAAUCUCUCAAAACGCAAUUGGCUUAAAACCUGAUUGUUGUUUUGGAUUUGAACUUUGCCGUGUUAUAACGGCUGGUUUUAAAAGUAUUAGCUGGUACUAGAACGAAUUGGUUCUACUCAACGUGAUAAUUAUCUGAUCGUUGAGGACAUUCCUUUCACGAGGAAUGGCCAUAGUAAAUUCAAUGGACUGCUUCUAAUCUGGCUUUAAUUCUUUAUUGGAUUAACCACUUUUCAAAUCUGACCUCGAAUCAGGUGGGACUACCCGCUGAACUUAAGCAUAUCAAUAAGCGGAGGA